ensembl:lncRNA
GUUCAGGGUGCAGGGUUAAAAUGAGGGUUAGGUUCAGGGUUAUGGGUUAGAAUGCGGGUUAGGGUUAGGCUCAGGGUGCAGGGUUAGAAUGAGGGUUAGGUUCAGGGUUAUGGGUUAGAAUGAGGAUUAGGUUCACGGUGCAGGGUUAGAAUGAGGGUUAGGUUCGGGGUUAUGGGUUAGAUUGAGGGUUAUGGGAUAGAAUUAGGGUUAGAUAGAGGGUUAUUGGUUAGAAUGAGGGUUAGAUUGAGGGUUGGAAUUAGAAUGAGGGAUGUGUUGAGGGUUAGAUUGAGGGUUAGGUUCAGGGUUAUGGGUUAGAAUGAGGGUUAGAUUGAGGGUUAGGGUUAGGUUCAGGGUUAUGGGUUAGAAUGAAGGUUAGAUUGAGGGUUAGGGUUAGAGUGAGGGUUAGAAUUAAAAUGAGGGUUAGGUGCAGGGUUCUGGGCUAGAAUGAGGGUUAGGUUCAGGGUUAUGGUUAAAAUGAGGGUUAGGUUCAGGGUGCGGGGUUAGAAUAAGGGUUAGAUAGAGGGUUAUUGGUUAGAAUGAGGGUUAUGGGAUAGAAUGAAGGUUAGGUUCAUGGUUAUGGCUUAGAAUGAGGGUUAGGUUCAGGGUUAUGGGUUAUAAUGAGGGUUAGAUAGAGGGUUAUUGGUUAGAAUGAGGGUUAGAUUGAGGGUUAUGGAAUAUAAUUAAUGUUAGGUUCAGGGUUAUCGGUUAGAAUGAGGGUUAGAAUGAGGGUUAGAUUGAGGGUUAGGUUCAGGGUUAUGGGUUAGAAUGAGGGUUAGAUUGAGGGUUAGGGUUAGAUUGAGGGUUAUAAUGAGGGUUAGAUAGAGGGUUAUUGAUGAGGUUAUUGGUUAGAAUGAGGGUUAUGGAAUAGAAUUAAGGUUAGCUUCAGGGUUAUCGGUUAGAAUGAG